UCAAGUACCCGGACACACGCACGAGCGCAGAACAAAGGGCCGGACAUGCUCCAGCCCGCUCCGCCUGCGCCUCGGCCUUGAGCGCGGGGGCCCGGGUUACCUGCGCAGAGCCAGCUGUGAUGUAAAGAAGUUUGUGCUGCAUGAGAGAGAUAGCACCUGAAGAAAAUGAGGCCCUGGAGGAUGAGAGACUCUAAAGGAAAAGGGAAGGGCCUGCUGUCUUCCAGCCACACCAGCCCCCAACUGAGAAGCUGGUGCCCUUGGUGUGGUGGAAGCAAGGUGCCAUGUGAUAAGUAAGCCUCCAGAGAGGCCUGCGUGGCAGGAUCCAGUGUCUCUAGCCAACAGCAUAUGGGGACCUGAGACCUGCCAACACCCUUGUGAGUGAGCCUGGAAGUGGACCUCCUGCUCUUGAACCUUGAGGUGACUAUAGUGCUGGCUGACACCUUGACUGCAGUCCCUGAGCUGGGGGGCCCAGCUGAUCUACUCCCAGAAUCCCCCCUACUAAAACAGUGAUAUAAUAAAUGCUUAUUGUUUCAAGCUGGUAA